GUUUUGGUAGCUUAAAUGGUUAAAGUACGUGACUGAAGUUCAUGUGAAGGAGGUUCGAUUCCUCCCCGAAACA